UCUCUGCGGAUGUUUUCUUUUAGGGCCUC
rnacentral:piRNA from 1 species